rnacentral:rRNA from 1 species
GCGAACGCUGGCGGCGUACCUAACACAUGCAAGUCGAACGGGGAUCAUAGGGUUAGCAAUAACUCUGUGGUUCUAGUGGCGCACGGGUGAGUAACACGUGGGUAACCUGCCCUUGAGACUGGGAUACCCCCUCGAAAGGGGGGCUAAUACCGGAUACGUUCCUCGGAUCGAAAGGUCUGAGGAGGAAAGGUGGCGAAAGCUGCCGCUCUUGGAGGGGCUCGCGGCCUAUCAGCUAGUUGGCGGGGUAACGGCCCACCAAGGCUAUGACGGGUAGCUGGUCUGAGAGGACGACCAGCCACACGGGGACUGAGACACGGCCCCGACUCCUACGGGAGGCAGCAGUGGGGAAUUUUCCGCAAUGGGCGAAAGCCUGACGGAGUGACGCCGCGUGUGGGACGAAGGCCUUCGGGUCGUAAACCACUGUCAGUGGGAAAGAUGGGUGCCGGCGCGAUAACCGCCGGCA